UUUGUCUGUAAAAGCAAGAUCAUGUAGACAAUGGCAAGAAGUUUCCUUCCUUCCUUCCUUCCUUCCUUCCUUCCUUCCUUCCUUCCUUCCUUCCUUCCUUCCUUCCUUCCUUCCUUCCUUCCUUCCUUCCUUCCUUCCUUCCUUCCUUCCUUCCAUUUGAAAAGGUGGCAUGGUUUGCAGGGACUUUUUUGUUGUCCUGGCAUGUUUCUGCUCUCGAUGUACCCAUGGUAAGCUUGCUGAUAGUUAGAGGUUAAUGAAGUACUCUUAAUACUGACUCAGUGGGGUUGACAGGCCUUGUUAAAUGUGCCACAUAAGGUAGGGAGCUCUGGUCAAUGCUUUCCUGUUCAGAGGGAAAUGGAGUCUAACACUUGAAUAUUUCAGAUAUCUCAGGAAUGGUCAAAGAGAUUACAAAGCUGCAGUCCAUUUUUGUUGCAAUUGUUUGAGCUGCUGCAUGAAUAACAUGGGUAUGCAUGUUCAAGAGGGUGUUGUAUGACCACAGAAAUUUCUCCUGUCCACACUCUUGUUCAGUAAUUGAUUAUUGCUUGCCUGCUUCCUGGUCUUCAGAGUCACCAGGUCUGACCGCUGUUAACCUCCAAACUUACCUCUAGGCUACCCUUUCUUGCUGCUUAUCCAAAGAUGAAAUCUCCCUGUGUUGCUGAAGUGCCUGAGUGCCUGACCAUGGGCAGUAUGUGGGCGACCGAGCGUCACCAUGCCCAGCAGACACAAGGCUCCCCCAGCCCUUCUGCCUGAGCGUUUCCGGGCACAGCUCACGGAGAUCUGCUCUGAAGAAGUGGACUCAUCUGUCGUGCAGAGGAAGGAGAAAUAAAAACCUCUGGUGUUAUCUUUUUCCCUACAAAAUAUUAUGGGGAAAGGCUAUGGAGAGAACUUUCCCUGCUGGAUGCCGUCUUCAAUGUGGGUACCUCCAUUUCAGAGCUGGGAUCUGCACCUGGACCUCCCGACAGUCACGUUACCUUCAGGGUACGGGUAUUGAAGAUGAUAUACAGCCAUAAUCUUAGAUUAUGAUGAAGCUGCACCUAAACUUCUGCCAGUAUCGCUUGCUGCACUCAUCCAGCUGCGGAGAGACUGCUGGAAGGAAAGACCAUGUCCAGGGUCCCUCAUCCCCGUGCCAGGAUGCACAGGAGGGCUGCCAGGUAACCUUCUGACACCCUCAACCUCUGCUCAAAAACAGCUAAGUCAAACAAAGUACUCAGUGUUGUUGAAUAAACCUGUAUUACACAGAGUCUGCAUGUUGCCCAAAAGCAGUUAUCCAAGCUCUAUUUGCCAGAGAUGAAAAUGUUAAGGUUCUUUCUGGUCUGAGUCUGCAGCUGUGAAAAAAUGACAUCCAUACAGGUCCAAACAAGAGGGUUGCAGACUAAAUGAAGUUGUGUAUCCUCCCCUGUCAUCAUGGAAAUCUGGACCGACUUCAACACAUACUUAUUUCAAAACAUACAAAUAAGGCAAUCAGAUACUGAUGUUCAGAGCAUUUACCUCCCUGUUUACCCAAAUUUUGUUGAAGAGCCCUUGAGAUAAGUAGGAGUGCUGCAGCCACAGGUGAAAUCUCUCCUUUCUUUAGCCACCUGUAGAUUGCUAUGAUAUAUUCUUGUUUGAAACAGCAGCUGCCCAAAAGGAGGUGCUUGUGUGAAUGCUACCUUGAGGGGGGAGACAGUGCAAGGGAGGAUGAAAACUUCUCUGACGUUUUUCAGAAUACAGUUAUGCCCUGAGAAUCACUACUUUACUCCUGUUCCGCAACACAUAAAUACACAUCAGCUGUGUGGUAAACCAAAUUCUCUCAGGAGCUUGUCCUGAAAGAGGGAAAGACAUGAUGAUUUAAAGGCUACAUCUGCAGUUCUUGCAGCUGCUUCGGUUCCUGCUGCUGGAGGAAAAUGCCCUGCAUCAACAGCCUCUUGACGCAGGGGCUUGGAGCAGCUCCUGGGGCAAAAACCCAAGGGAGUCAAGCACUGUCACUAGCCUGUUGGACAGGAGAGGAGUGGGAAGCCACCAUGCAGCUCACAGGAACGCGGUCACUUCUGCUGUCAGAUGCCCCUUCUGGCAUUACCUUUCCUGCUGCGUUGCAAGUGGAAGAGAACUCCAACCCAUGUAACACUAGUUGCAUUCUCCAGAAUCUAUGGAAAGUAAGAUUAGACCAGGCAACUUCCUAAACAAAGUGAAGGUCAGCAUGGUGUGGUACUGGCUUGGCAUACCCUUGUAUUAAAACUCACAGGAGGAGCUGUUGAAGGCUGUGAAGCCUGCUGGAAUGUCUUCAGUUGUAGGAAACACGUGCGACAUUUCUGUAAGAAGGCAGCUGAAGAUGUGAGGAUGUUCUGGAAUGAAGGCUUGCACAACCUCUGUGUUUUGACGUUAUUCUCCUCGGUGAUUGACUGGGAAUGUAGCAGCUCCAGCUACCGCAGCAGUGUGGUGUGAUUCCUUCCAGCCUAUGUGUAAAAACCACCUUCGUAUUAAACAUCGCUCCUCCUUAACAAGCUAGUAACACAUCUAUGAUUUCAGUAAUUAAAAUAAGUUUUUAUUGCUUUUUGCUUAUAUUAACACCCCAGAGCAAGCAGACAAGUCAGGUAGGCCAGCAGCUACCGGGACUCUGGGAACAGGGCUUAGGCUCCCUGCUUCCUCUGCAGUGAGAAAAAGAGGCAGGACCAGAUGCUAAACGUAUUAAAUGCCUUAAUCCUAUGGAAUUUGAUGGAAAUUGGUGCCUAAAUACUGCGGAGAUCUAUUUUAAUCUCUAUAUACCUUAGUUCUUCAUCUGUCAUAUAAGGGUAAUAAUUAUACAGCGAAGUAUAACAACAAAUGCAAUAAGGAAAACAAAGUGCUCAGCUACUAUAAUCGCUAAAUGUAAAAAAAAAAAUAUCUAAGGAAGACAAUAUGCUUAUUUCUUUUUUAUGAAUCUUGUUUAUGUAGUACUAUCCAAUUUUAGAGAGGAGUGUUUACCUGCUUGUUGAUUAAUUUACAGUUGUGUUCCCCAGCUGCAAUCAGAGCACAGUUUCUCUUUCAGAAGUUUAUUAAAAGCAAGCAUCAAAGAGAAGGUAAAUGCAUGCCAAAUCUUGCAACGAUAUUGGCAUGCUCCCAAAGUUGCAAAAUAAUGAAGAAAAUGUUGAGAUUGGGACUCUGUGCCCAUUUUAGCAACAUGCCUUGUAAGUGCAAUUAAAGCUGCCACUCAAGAAACACAACAAAAACAGAAAAACAAAGGAGAGCUAAAAGAUAACAUAGAAACGUUCUGAAGUAUCAUCUUAUACCUGCAGUUUAAUUCUUAAAAGGGAGAGGCCUCUCAGUGUGAAAGCGUUUUUGUUAUUCUUUAGUCUCCACCAUCAUAUUUUUUGCAGAAGUUACUCAUGACAGAUGCAACUUUCCUGGCUCCAAAGGUAGGGAAAAUAAAACAUAACAUAUUGCAAAAACUUAUGAAAACAAAACAACUGGAUUUCCCAUGCUGUGUCCCUGUUCUGGCUGUAAUAGGCUGAAACCAAGCUUUCUGACUUGUUACCCUCAAAGGACAUUGCACAGUAAGGUACAAAAUCUUACAGUAACAUUUAA